GUCGGACGGUAGCACAGGGGAGCUUGCUCCUUGGGUGACGAGUGGCGGACGGGUGAGUAAUGUCUGGGAAACUGCCCGGUGGAGGGGGAUAACUACUGGAAACGGUAGCUAAUACCGCAUAACGUCUUCGGACCAAAGUGGGGGAUCUUAGGGCCUCACGCCACCGGAUGUGCCCAGAUGGGAUUAGCUAGUAGGUGGGGUAACGGCUCACCUAGGCGACGAUCCCUAGCUGGUCUGAGAGGAUGACCAGCCACACUGGAACUGAGACACGGUCCAGACUCCUACGGGAGGCAGCAGUGGGGAAUAUUGCACAAUGGGCGCAAGCCUGAUGCAGCCAUGCCGCGUGUAUGAAGAAGGCCUUCGGGUUGUAAAGUACUUUCAGCGGGGAGGAAGGCGGUGAGGUUAAUAACCUCGCCGAUUGACGUUACCCGCAGAAGAAGCACCGGCUAACUCCGUGCCAGCAGCC
rnacentral:rRNA from 1 species